GNANUNUACCUGGUUUANAAUGGUUCCUUAUGGAAAAACGGUACACCUGGAGGCGAGUGGCUAACGGGUGAGUCAUAUAUCGGAACGUACCCAAGAGUGGGGGAUAACGUACCGAAAGUUACGCUAAUACCGCUUCCGAUCUCUGGAUGAAAGCCGGGGAUCUUCGGACCUUGUGCUCCUGGAGCGGCCGAUAUCUGAUUAGCUAGUUGGUGAGGUAAAGGCUCACCAAGGCCACUAUCAGUAGCUGGUCUGAGAGGACGACCAGCCACACUGGAACUGAGACACGGUCCAGACUCCUACCGGAGGCAGCAGUGGGGAAUUUUGGACAAUGGGCGAAAGCCUGAUCCAGCCAUGCCGCGUGAGUGAAGAAGGCCUUCGGGUUGUAAAGCUCUUUUGUCAGGGAAGAAACGGUGAGGGCUAAUAUCCUUCGCUAAUGACGGUACCUGAAGAAUAAGCACCGGCUAACUACGUGCCAGCAGCCGCGGUAAUACGUAGGGUGCAAGCGUUAAUCGGAAUUACUGGUCGUAAAGCGUGCGCAGGCGGUUUUGUAAGUCUGACGUGAAAUCCCCGGGCUCAACCUGGGAAUUGCGUUGGAGACUGCAAGGCUAGAAUCUGGCAGAGGGGGGUAGAAUUCCACGUGUAGCACUGAAAUGCGUAGAGAUGUGGAGGAACACCGAUGGCGAAGGCAGCCCCCUGGGUCAAGAUUGACGCUCAUGCACGAAAGCGUGGGGAGCAAACAGGAUUAGAUACCCUGGUAGUCCACGUCCUAAACGAUGUCUACUAGUUGUCGGGUUUUAAUUAACUUGGUAACGCAGCUAACGCGUGAAGUAGACCGCCUGGGGGAGUACGGUCGCAAGAUUAAAACUCAAAGGAAUUGACGGGACCCGCACAGCCGUGGAUGAUGUGGAUUAAUUCAUGCACGCGAAAACCUUUACCUACCCUUGAC
rnacentral:rRNA from 1 species